UACGUAGGGUGCGAGCGUUGUCCGGAAUUAUUGGGCGUAAAGGGCUCGUAGGCGGUUUGUCGCGUCGGGGAGUGAAAAACCUACAGCUUAACUGUGGGCUUGCUUUCGAUACGGGCAGACUAGAGGUAUGCAGGGGAGAACGGAAUUCCUGGUGUAGCGGUGAAAUGCGCAGAUAUCAGGAGGAACACCGGUGGCGAAGGCGGUUCUCUGGGCAUGAUCUGACGCUGAGGAGCGAAAGUGUGGGGGAGCGAAACAGG
rnacentral:rRNA from 1 species